CAGUCGCCGCGGUAAUACGUAGGGUGCGAGCGUUAAUCGGAAUUACUGGGCGUAAAGCGAGCGCAGGCGGUUAGAUAAGUCUGAAGUUAAAGGCUGUGGCUUAACCAUAGUACGCUUUGGAAACUGUUUAACUUGAGUGCAAGAGGGGAGAGUGGACUUCCAUGUGUAGCGGUGAAAUGCGUAGAUAUAUGGAGGAACACCGGUGGCGAAAGCGGCUCUCUGGCUUGUAACUGACGCUGAGGCUCGAAAGCGUGGGGAGCAAACAGGAUUAGAUACCCCCGUAGUCCCUGUCUCUUAUACA
rnacentral:rRNA from 1 species